rnacentral:rRNA from 1 species
UGCAGUCGAGGGGCAGCAUCAUCAAAGCUUGCUUUGAUGGAUGGCGACCGGCGCACGGGUGAGUAACACGUAUCCAACCUGCCGACAACACUGGGAUAGCCUUUCGAAAGAAAGAUUAAUACCGGAUGGUAUAGUUUUCCCGCAUGGGAUGAUUAUUAAAGAAUUUCGGUUGUCGAUGGGGAUGCGUUCCAUUAGGCAGUUGGCGGGGUAACGGCCCACCAAACCUACGAUGGAUAGGGGUUCUGAGAGGAAGGUCCCCCACAUUGGAACUGAGACACGGUCCAAACUCCUACGGGAGGCAGCAGUGAGGAAUAUUGGUCAAUGGACGAGAGUCUGAACCAGCCAAGUAGCGUGAAGGAUGACUGCCCUAUGGGUUGUAAACUUCUUUUAUACGGGAAUAAAGUGAGCCACGUGUGGCUUUUUGUAUGUACCGUAUGAAUAAGGAUCGGCUAACUCCGUGCCAGCAGCCGCGGUAAUACGGAGGAUCCGAGCGUUAUCCGGAUUUAUUGGGUUUAAAGGGAGCGUAGGCGGGUUGUUAAGUCAGUUGUGAAAGUUUGCGGCUCAACCGUAAAAUUGCAGUUGAUACUGGCGACCUUGAGUGCAACAGAGGUAGGCGGAAUUCGUGGUGUAGCGGUGAAAUGCUUAGAUAUCACGAAGAACUCCGAUUGCGAAGGCAGCUUACUGGAUUGUAACUGACGUUGAUGCUCG